rnacentral:rRNA from 1 species
AUGGAAGGGCUCAUACACUGGGACUUCAACCCCGGCCUCAAGGUCGAGGACCAGGUUCGUAGGCGUUUUAGAUCCACGGUUCAUUUCUCCCCUGCUUCUUCCUCCAAGGAGUUCUUCUUGGUGGUCACGUUUUCUUCUACCUCCUUCCCUUUGUCACGUGCUUCGGUUGGAUUGGCUUUAUAGUGCUGCAUUGGU